UUGAACUUAAGAUAUGAAUGAGGUUUCGAGUUUUUUUUUCCAACAUCAAAAGUGAAGAGGGGAUAAAAUACACCAACUGAAACUCAUAUUCGAGUGAAACAGAACCUGACCGAACAACUUUUCUUAAUUUAAUGGAAGGAAAAGUUGGGAUUUGGGAGGUGUGAAGAGUUCUUUAGAAUGAGGUAACGAACAAGUGACAAUAUCUAAUAAUCUUUUGUAAGAACAAGAACAUGACAAGUGGGUUUUGUUGUUUGGUGUCUAUUUAUGCUCGUCGCCCCAUGCAGUAUAGUAGUA